UCAAUUACUUAAUAUUUCUUUUAUAGGACUUGACCAAUUUAUUCAACAGUUGAGAGAUACAUGUACCCAUAAAGUGAAAGCCAACUCGGUGAAGCAAGAAUACGAAAAACAAGAUGAACUAAGGCGAUCCGCACUUCGCGCUGUGUGUGCGUUGUCGAAUAUACCUAAAGCUGAAAAAAAUCAGCAAUUAAUGGAAUUCUUAAAAACAAUAAAAGAUUCUGCAGAGCUAAGUAAAAUAUACGAAUACAUCCAAAAAGACUCACUUUCAAGUAAUUUGGAUUUCACAAUGGAUGAAAGUUAAAAAAUAUGGAGAGGAACCCAAUCCGUUUUUCAGAAAUCUGAAAAUUCAUCAUAAAUAAACUUACACAAGAAAUAUAGAAUUAAACUAUGCAGAAGUAUGAUUUUAAUUUCGGAUUUAAAAUAAAGUUGGAAUGCACAUAGAAACAAAUAAA
rnacentral:sRNA from 1 species